rnacentral:tRNA from 79 species
GGGCCUUUAGCUCAGUUGGUAGAGCGCCACGUUUACACCGUGGAUGUCAUCGGUUCGAGCCCGGUAGGGCCCACCA